UACUCCAUGGUGUAUUUCACAAGGGGUGUUAGCCGUAUAUAAGUAAAAAAUUACACUAAUAAAUUAUACGCAGAUAUCCAUACUGUCAUUGGUAUAAGUUACAACAAACACAUCAUUUUGACGUAAUGCUCUCCACGCCGAAAAACUCAGCUGUCGCAACAACGCCACCUUGUUAAAUGCACCUUGCUCUACUCCAUGUGCUCGAUUUAAUAAAAUUGCCGAAAAGAAAUCAUCUAGAAGAUCAAAUUUUUAGUUCUGAAAAUGCGCUUGGUUAUAUUGUACGGAAGUCAAACAGGUACUGCUCAAAAUGUGGCUGAACAGAUUUGGCGGGAAGCAAAAACGUGGGGCUUUAAUGGACCAGUUCUACCGAUGGAUGAGUAUCCAGUGCAGCACUUAAUCGAGGAACAAUUGGCUAUUUUUGUCGUAGCCACCACAGGUAAUGGGGAUGAACCAGAUAAUAUGCAGAAAACGUGGAAAUUUUUAUUGCGUCGUAGCUUACCAUCAGACUCGUUGCAACGGUUGCGGUUUGCCUGUUUGGGAUUAGGGGAUUCUAGCUAUGCUAAGUUUAAUUUUGCUGCUAAAAAGCUGAACAAACGUCUACUACAAUUGGGUGCAAGUCCCGUACUGCCUUUAGGAUUGUGUGAUGACCAGCAUGACCAUGGACCUAGUGCGACGGCUUUGCCGUGGAUAGCAGAAUUAUGGAAUGAAUUGAGGAAGUCUAUACCUUUCCAACGACAAAAAAAUGGAGAAGCAAAGGCAAUUUUUAAAUGGAAUGUAACAUACUCCCAUCCGACAACGCCUUUAGCAGAAAUUUCUCAUCUGCAAUGGCCACUAAAGAAUGAGGCUGUAUGUUUUACUUUGGGGGAAAAUCGACGAACUACUGCCGCAGAUCACUUUCAAGAUGUACGAUUUUUGAGAUUUGUCUUUCCAUCUAUUAUUAGUUGGAAUGCCGGUGAUAUCUUAGAUUUACGUCCCAGCAAUGCAGACGAGCAAGUUCUGCAGUUUUUCGAACUAGUUAAAGAACAUAAUUUAGGUUUUAAUGAAAGUACCGUAGUAAAACUUGACACGGUAUAUGAUGAUAUGCCUGUGCCAUUGGCUUACGCAAAACCAGUGACUGUUGGCAUGCUAGCAAAGUAUAUAUGGGAUUUGAACGCCUGUCCAAGGCAACGUGCUUUUGAACUUCUAUCAUUAAAUUGCGAAGAUGAAUUAGAGAAAGAGAAACUAGAAGAAUUCGCCUCAUUAGAGGGAUUAGAUGACUUAAUAAACUAUGUGAAUCGUCCACGGCGCACCAUUCUCGAGGUUUUGCAGGACUUCCGGCAUAGCACCUCGAAACUUAACCUUCCCAUUUUAUUUGAAUUAUUUACCAUAAUACAACCGCGAAGUUUUUCCAUUGCUUCAAUGCCUACAACUCGUUCACUAGAUCUUCUGGUGGCAGUAGUUGAGUAUAAAACCAAAAUGUCUAAGCCUCGUCUUGGGCUUUGUUCUAAUUGGUUGAAGUCGCUGACCAUUGGAAGUCAAGUAUAUGGGGUAAUAAAACGUGGAACAAUGUCUUUGCCUAGCGAGCUGGCAACGCCAAUUGUGAUGGUAGGGCCAGGUACCGGUAUCGCACCUUUUCGGAGUGUAAUACAGUACAAGAAGGAACAAGAAAAAAAUGGCGGCAAAAUCGGCGAAUUAAUUGUAUUCUUUGGUUGUCGAAAUAAAGCGAAGGAUUAUCACUUUGCUGAAGAUUUUACACGUUGGCACGCGGAGAAGACUUGUAGAAUAUUUGUAGCAUUUUCACGUGAUCAGGACCAUAAAAUAUAUGUUCAACAUUUAAUAAAACAGCAGAAAGAGCUAAUUAGUGAAUUAAUUUUGAAAAAAUCUGCCGUUAUAAUGGUGGCUGGAUCAUCGAAUAGUAUGCCCAAAGCAGUGCAUGAGGCUUUCAUAGAGGUAUUGGACGGGAAUGAGGAAUAUCUGGAUAAAAUGAUCAAAGGACGGAGAUAUCAAGAGGAGACUUGGACAUAAAUGCAUACAUACGUGCGUUGUAAUAAAAUGGUUGGGCAAAUGUUGCCAUUCAAAUGUUGGCUAUAAUUUGAGCAUUUGUAACAGAGCGGCAACAGCUCUUCGGGAUCAUUAAAUCCACUCUUGCAUGCCUUACUAUUCAGUAAAUGUCUAAAUAUUGUUUUGAAAGUAGCCAAUAGAAGUAACUGGCAUCUAGGAAACGCUCCUCUACAAUGGCCGAUGUGCUGAGCUGCUUCAGCAAACGAUUUGCGUCUUUCAUGCGCCCCGCUUUCAAUUCAUUCACCUUAAUAUAGCGUAUGAAAGAGUCCAUUAUCCAGUCUCGUUGUAAUAUGCCGUUAAAGUCCAAGCUCUGCAGACGUUUCUCCUGGCA